rnacentral:rRNA from 1 species
UACGUAGGGUGCAAGCGUUGUCCGGAAUUAUUGGGCGUAAAGAGCUCGUAGGCGGUUUGUCGCGUCUGCUGUGAAAACCCGAGGCUCAACCUCGGGCCUGCAGUGGGUACGGGCAGACUAGAGUGCGGUAGGGGAGAUUGGAAUUCCUGGUGUAGCGGUGGAAUGCGCAGAUAUCAGGAGGAACACCAAUGGCGAAGGCAGAUCUCUGGGCCGUAACUGACGCUCAGGAGCGAAAGCAUGGGGAGCGAACAGG